AUUGAACGCUGGCGGCAGGCCUAACACAUGCAAGUCGAGCGGAGCGGCGGACGGGUGAGUAAUGCCUAGGAAUCUGCCUGGUAGUGGGGGAUAACGUACGGAAACGGGCGCUAAUACCGCAUACUAUCAGAUGAGCCUAGGGCGGAUUAGCUAGUUGGAGGGGGAAAGGCCUACCAAGGCGACGAUCCGUAACUGGACUGAGAGGAUGAUCCGUCACACUGGAACUGAGAAACGGUCCAGACUCCUACGGGAGGCAGCAGUGGGGAAUAUUGGACAAUGGGCGAAAGCCUGAUCCAGCCAUGCCGCGUGUGUGAAGAAGGUCUUCGGAUCGUAAAACACUUUAAGUUGAGAGGCGUUACCAACAGAGUAAGCACCGGCUAACUUCGUGCCAGCCGCCGCGGUAAUUC
rnacentral:rRNA from 1 species